rnacentral:tRNA from 1 species
GGGGAUGUGGCUCAGUGUUAGAGCACUUUCCUGGCAUGUAUGAGGCGAGGCUCUGGGUUCCAUCCUCA